UCACCCAGGCUAGAGUGCAGUGGUGUGAUCUUGGCUCACUGAAGGCUUGACCUCCCCGGGCUCAGGUGAUCCACCUACUUCAAACCCCGGAGUAGCUGAGGCUACAGGCAUGAGCCACCACUCCCAGCUAAUUUUUGUAUAUUUUUUGGUAGAGCUGGGGUUUUUCCAUGUGGCCCAGGCUAGUCUUGAACUCCUGCUCAAGUGAUCCACCUGCCUCGGCCUCCCAAAGGUGUGAUUGCAGGUGUGAGCCACCAAACGUGGCCUCAUGCCAUUUGAUCUUAAGACUUAGUUUUCUCUUUUCAUUCUGACUGCUCUACUGUUCAUUCUUAGAUGAGUAUAAUAACUGCUCAUCCAGCUCUCUUAAUCCUGGACCCCCCCACCUCAAUCAAUUCUGUGUGUUGUUUCUAGAUUAAUUUUCAUAAGAUGCCAUUUAAAAAACAUCAUGGAUUAAAGCUGCAGCAUUUCUCUGAUAUCUACCAAAUAAAGUCCACACAUCAUGGACUGGUUUCCAAGCUCUCAGGGAAGAGAAAGAAGAAUGGGGCAGUUAUACCUGCCUGUUCACUAUCUAUUCUUGCUUACCACAAAUAGAUCGUGUGUUUUUAGGACGAUAUGAGCCACAGCUCCAAUGGGAGAGGUGACAGAAGACAACGCUCAUUAUGGCCAUGAGAAGAGUUCACAAACUGCUCCCUUAUAAUCCCAAUUUGAGAGAUUUAAGUUUUCCAAGAAACAAGAGAAUCAUCAACACUGGAGAAAGCCCUCAAAAUUGCUAUUCGUUAUACUAAAAGGUGAAACAGCUCAACACGCAAGUGCCUGGCACUCACCGCAACUUCUUGACGAUCUUUUCUUCCUCGUGAAGAUAUUUCUGUCUCUCUUGCUCCACGAAAACGCGCUGUCGCUGCACGGGAUCCUCCAG